ACUGUGGCAUAUAAAUACAGGACAGUCUGAAGAGAAGGACUAUUCUUACAGCGAUUUUCAAAGCGACUACUACAGUCACAAUUACCAUGUGUCGUCUUGGUUUUAUCAUGAUUCUUGGGGCAUUAGUGCUCUUGACUAAUUUACAGAGAGCUGACUCUUUCAACCAUAACCGUGUGAAUGCCCCAGCUCCCGUCAACGAUGUAGACUCUCUCGAACACAACGACGAUAGCAACGAAGGUCAGUACAAUUCAACCCGAAACAAGUAUCGCCCAAUCUGACGAAAACGAUGAUCAUCACGAUUCCGAAGAAAUUAAAACAGUUAAACGAGACGCCCGCUUUCUGACCGCCAUCGACCAUUCGUCUGAAGAGGACACAACAACAGAAACUCCUUUCGACAGCCAGUCGGAUGAACAUGACGAUGAUGUGAUUUUGGUCAAGGUUGUUAAGAGGGAUAUCAAGGCAGCGACUGUCGACCAUUCCGUUGAAGAUGACGCGACAACUGAAGCAGCCGACCAGUCCGAUGAACACGACGGUAUCGAAUCCGAAGAGAAGAGAAUCAAGAAACGAAGUGUUCAUCAAAUAGCCAAGACAAUUCUAGGACGAAUUGAUUCUUCAGAAGAAGACACGACGGACAGCCAGCUUCUUGACAGCCGUUCUGAUGAACACUCGGAUGAAAAAAGGGUCCUGAAACGAGACGUCCUCCAGGCAACAGUUGACCUCUCAUCAGAAGAAGAUACAACGGAAUCAGCAAUCGUUGGUAGCCAAUCGGGCGAGCGUGAUGAUGUCAGCUUGGAACACAACAGGUUAGGUAAAAGGGAUAUUCACUUAGUAGCGGUCAAAGUUGAUCACUCGUCUGAAGAAGAUACAACAGAAGCAACGCUCCUUGACAACCGAACAGUUGAGAAUUUGAGCUCGGAGGAAAAGUUAGUGAAACGCGAUGUCAACCUUCUGGCUUCAACUGUGGACCACUCUUCCGAAGAACAUACGACGGAUAGUGUAUUGGACUUUGCCUCGCAGGAAGAUUCAGUUGAAGACGCACUUGUCCGAUCAACAUUGGACGUCAAGCUGUUGCCUUCUACUGCACUCAGAAUUUAAAUCGCAUUUUGGCAAACAUUUUUUUUUCUGGAAUUUUUUUAAAUAGAAAAUAUUACAAAUUUUUACUGUUGUACCUUCUCGUGACGCAAAUAUAGAUACAUUGUUUCGUA